rnacentral:misc_RNA from 1 species
UCCGGUUCAUCACCAGCAGUCUCCUUAGAGUCCCCAACAUAACUUGAUGGUAACUAAGGAUAAGGGUUGCGCUCGUUACGGGACUUAACCCAACAUCUCACAACACGAGCUGACGACAGCCAUGCAGCACCUGUCUCUAGGUUCCUUUCGGCACUCCCGUAUCUCUACAGGAUCCCUAGGAUGUCAAGGGUAGGUAAGGUUCUUCGCGUUGCAUCGAAUUAAACCACAUGCUCCACCGCUUGUGCGGGCCCCCGUCAAUUCCUUUGAGUUUUAACCUUGCGGCCGUACUCCCCAGGCGGAGAACUUAUCGCGUUAGCUUCGAUACUAAUAGGUCAAGCCUACCAACAUCUAGUUCUCAUCGUUUACAGCGUGGACUGC